rnacentral:misc_RNA from 1 species
UUAACUAUUGUAUAGUACUCGGACGGCACGUUUACUAUUAGGGUUUUGGGGCCUUUGGCGGGCGCACACCAGCGAAAUGCCGGUGGCCUGGGCGGUCGACCCGCCAAAGCAACAUAAGUCAGGUAAACAGGGUGGGAGAUCUACCCAGAGGGCAUGAACUCGGUAAUGAUCCUUCCGCAGGUUCACCUACGGAAA